CUGUGAGAUACUGGAACAGGUUGUCCAGAGAAGGUGUGCAGGUUCCAUUCCUGGAAGUGCUCAAGGCCAGGUUGGAUGGGGCUUUAAGCAACCUGGUCCAGUGGAAGGCAUCCCUGUGCUAGUUCCUGCCAUAUGAGGUUAUGUCAGAAAUUGUAUACUUCUGUUUUACUGAAUACUAAUCACUUGCACUGAUCUAUGUGUCUCUUGUCUAGAGAAGAUGAAUAGAGAGGUUUGGCUUAACUGUUCGGCUGAUUUUGUAGUCAGUGAGAAGACAUAAACGUCUCCAAAGUGCAGACAAUUUUAUCCAAGAUACUUACAGAACACGAGUUCAAUUCUUUCUGGAAUUCUGUACACCAACCUGCCCUUUAUCAGCUGUGAAGGGACUGAAGAGAAACUCUCCUAUUAACUGGUGACGAGCAAAUGAUCUAUACAUGAUUCCAAUUUAGUUAAUGAUGUGACUUUGCUACAAAAGAAUUCUUCAUCUACAAAUAGAAGAAAGGUCUGUGAAACAUAUUAGCUAUUCUCUUCAUUCUACCCAUUAGCAUCAGUACCUUAGCUACAAGAUUAAGUUUCAGGUUGUGGUUAAAGAGGGAUAUUUUCCAUUUGCAGACAGUCUACAGAAGAGUAACAGAGGUGAUCAAUAGAAAUCACUAGAAAAACUGGAUUUGCUUUGUCUAGACAGAAAAAGACUAAGGUAA
rnacentral:lncRNA from 1 species